GUAUGUGGGUGUUUGCAUUGUUUGGGAAUAUGGCAUGUGUGAUUGGUAUAUAUAAGUUAGAGAAGGUCAUAAGGUGAUGCAAGCAUGGUCGAGCUAGAAGAUAAUUUGAAAUUGAUUCAACCCCGUGGAUGCAACUAUGUGGAUGCCAAACUGGUGGAUGCAGAAACUCGUGGAUACAACUCUAUGGAUGGAACUGAGUGGAUGCAACAAUCAAGUAACUAUGAAGCAGAUUUGGAGCUAAAUGGACUCGGUGAUACUCAGACUCGGACCCAAACUGAUGACGGACCAGACAUGACUUUCUCAACCGAAACCAAUCAAGACAAGGAUCCAUUCUGCUUGUCUAAGGGCCCAGUUACUAGAUCACAAACCAAAAGACUGAAAAAAUCAAUUGCUGCUUUGUUUCACUCUGAAACAGACGGAAAUCAAGCCAAGGAACCGAGCCAACUCUUCACUUACUCAGUCUUUGGACUGGUCUAAGUGUUAUUUCAAAAUCUAAGUCUUAUUACUUUUAUUUUCGAUUUUAUUAAGUAUUAGGACCUUUCAACUUCUUUUCCUUCUUUGUUGCUACUUAAACUCUCUUUUGUUUCUGAAAAACCUAAUCACUUUUUUUUAUCAAAACUUUCUUCGAAACUUGUGAUUCCUUUGUUCAGUUCUUGAGCAUUGAUUGCCUAGGAGGUGAUCUCCAUAAGCACCUGUCUUGUUCACUAGUGGGGUUGCCCUCACGGACUAAGGCAUCAAGCAAGUGUUUGAUCAAUCAAUAGAUCUCACACUUAAGUUCAUCAACCAUCUCGACAUCUACCCACAGAUCCAUCAUCUCUUCAUAAUCAGAUCAGUGUUAGUAACCUGAUCCUUCAUCAAAUCGGUUCUGUUUGUGCUAGUAGCAUUCAGUAUCUUCACAACCCUAAUAAUCCGAUCCUCAAGAUUAUUCAAGGGACUGCAUCCUCAUCUGGAUUGCAUUAAGUGGUAUCAGAGCAGAUCUGAAGGCUCUUGAUCUGGGGCCAACCAGAUUAAAAAAAAAAAAAAAAAAAAAAAAAAAAAAAAAUAAAGUUGAAGAGAAAUCCAACUUGGCUGAAGAGAAAUCAAGCCCUGGUGGUAAUGCCUCUUGUAAUCUGUCUAUAUCUUUCUUAUGUUUUGGGGUUGGGAUUUGUUCUCUGAAUUUUGAUCUUUUUUGUUGCUGAGCUACUUGAUUCACAGAGAAAAGUCACAAAAAAAUUCAUAGAAAAAUCAGAGAGAACCAGAAGAGAAAAUUUCAGAACGAUGCUAAGAUCAAAAGAAAGAGCACGAUACCAUCUUUCUGUGGAAAAAAUGACCAUGAUGGCUAUUUGGAGUGGGAAUAGAAAAUGGAACUUGUCUUUGAUGGCCAAAACUACUCAGAAAGAAAGAAGGUUAAAUUGGCUACAACAGAGUACUGUGGUGAUGCCAUUCAGUGGUGGGAUCAGCUUGUUACUACCAGAAUAAGAACAGGAGAAACACAAGUUGCAUCCUGGUUUGAGCUGAAACACUUCAUGAAGAAACACUUUGAUUCUGGUAACUACAGCAAUAGACAACCAAGACAGGCCAAAGAGGAGACAAGACCUUGCCAUGAUCAUAAUCACCCAAGAAAGUCUCAGUCAAAUAAGCAAAGAAAGCCAGACCCACGUCCUCUCUCAAGAGUCAGUGAGCAACUGAUUUCUACAAAGGAAUCAGCUAUCCAAAAGCUAAAAACAGAGCCAUCUAAGGUAAGUACAGAACCUGAGACAGAAAAUGAGUUUUCUCUUUUCUCUCCUCAGUCUGAACUUGUUCUCAACAAAACAUGUGAUCAACUAACUUGUUUUGAACCGGUGCAUCCGAGUAGCCUUGUUUCAGGGUCUCAGGUCUUAGAAGAAAACUCAGCAGAAGAAGCACAAACGAGUUCACCACCAGACGAAGUGUUGGAGAAGCCAAACAACAUUGAAGGAAAAACAGAUGCUAAGUCAUUCUCUCUGAACUCUCAAGAGCACUGUAAGGUCUUGAUAUGGUUAAUUUUGUGCCUGACAUGUUUGUUAUGGUCUCUUCUAGUGAUGUAAAAUUUUUUGGUCUUGAAAGAGUAAAAUAAUUUUGUGUUUCAAACUCUGUUUUUGAUAACAUGAUUUAUUCUUUUAAGAAACUUGAACCAGAUAAAUUUUCUGAUCAAAAACAUUUUAACUGUGAUAAUAACAUCAAUCCUGGUCUUGUUUUGAGUUUUGAUCAGUUUAUGGAAGACUAGUGGUGUGCCCGCGCGGGUCGUAUGACAUUUGAGAUCUUAAAUUUUGUUAGUUUUUUGCUUGUUUAUUGUAUAAUUUUUUUGAAAACCCCUAGUGGGUUGUAUGCUCCAUUGCAAGGGCUUUACAUUGUUGCUUUUAUCCAAUCUUGUUGAAAUAAGUAGGACUAAUUUAAAAAGAAAAAAUCAAUGACUGAUUUGAAACCCCUAGCUUGAAAGGUUGUUGUUAUGAAUUCUUAAAUUGAGUACUCGAUACUCACAACUUGAACUA